GUUUGAUUUACAUAUUACGUAUUUACAUAGGCAUGGAAAAUUUUCACAAAAUAACACAAGUAUGAACCUUAUAAAACAUCUAGCAUAAGCAAAUAAAUGUCCAAGAAAAGCAGCAAGACAUUUUCUCUCUAGGAGGGUCACAUGUUGAUGAACAGGAGAACAUGAUCUAGAUGCACCACCUCACUCAGUUCAUUUGAAUUCUCUAGUAGGGACAGUUAUGAAACAAUAAGCUGAUCAAUUUUGUUGGUAGCGUCAUCAUGGAAUGUGAUGGGCAGAACUCCAAUAAAAAACGUGCUACCAGUCUUGAAGCCACUCUGGAGUGUUAAGCUCCUCCAUGUCACGAUUAGGGGAAUGUAGGGAAGCUAUGUUCUCAUCACCAUGGUUUUCCAAGCGUUGACUUAUACGAGAGAGAAUCUCUGCAGGAACAGGACUUCGAUGAUCUGCUAUUGCUUUCCAAUCCACAUCAAGAAACCAGGGAUGACUUUUUAUAGAGUCAACACCUUGGCUUCCGAGUCUUAGAUUUUCAUCAACUUGAAGUAACUUGGCAAUGAGAUCAAGAGCUUCGGGGCUGAAUGUAUGUGGAAGUGUCAACUGUCCUUUAGCAAUCCUAGCAAAUGUAAGCUCACUCUCUCUCCAUGAACCAAAUGGCAUUUCACCUUGUAGCAUGAAGUAGAUCAAUGUUCCCAAAGCCCACCAGUCAGCAGCAAAACCAUGGCCUUUUCCUUGGACUAUUUCUGGAGCUAGAGAAUCUGCCAUUCCGCAUAUGGUAAAUGUCCUCUCAUCCAACUCAGAAGAAAUCUUCUUGGCAAAUCUGAAUUCCACUAGCUGAAUAUGGCCAGUUUGGUCGAACAUUAGUACGUCAGGAGAAACACCUCUAUAAAGUAUGUCAUUAUUGUGCAAGUCUUCCAGAGCAAUGACAACUGAUGCAGCACAGAAACGUGUUGAUUCCUCAUCAAGGGGGUUGUUAAGUAUUGCUACCACAGAGCAAGCCAGGCAUGUGUCCAGAACUAUGCCAGCAUGAAUUUCAUCAGCACAAGUACAUAAAACUUGAGGUACUGAAGCUACUGUAUUCAUUUGCUUCAAUAGAUUCUUCUCAUUUAACACUUGUGCUUCUUUCCCAAGCAUUUUG
rnacentral:misc_RNA from 1 species